GUGGGGAAUCUUAGACAAUGGGCGCAAGCCUGAUCUAGCCAUGCCGCGUGAGCGAUGAAGGCCUUAGGGUUGUAAAGCUCUUUCAGUGGGGAAGAUAAUGACUGUACCCACAGAAGAAGCCCCGGCUAACUCCGUGCCAGCAGCCGCGGUAAUACGGAGGGGGCUAGCGUUGUUCGGAAUUACUGGGCGUAAAGCGCACGUAGGCGGACUGGAAAGUCAGGGGUGAAAUCCCGGGGCUCAACCCCGGAACUGCCUUUGAAACUCCCAGUCUUGAGGUCGAGAGAGGUGAGUGGAAGUCCGAGUGUAGAGGUGAAAUUCGUAGAUAUUCGGAGGAACACCAGUGGCGAAGGCGGCUCACUGGCUCGAUACUGACGCUGAGGUGCGAAAGCGUGGGGAGCAAACAGGAUUAGAAACCCGUGUAGUCC
rnacentral:rRNA from 1 species